rnacentral:rRNA from 1 species
GAUGAACGCUGGCGGCGUGCCUAAUACAUGCAAGUCGAGCGGAACUCUAUCUUGUAUAGAGUUUAGCGGCGAACGGGUGAGUAACACGUGAGCAACCUACCUCCUAGAUUGGGAUAACUUUGGGAAACUGAAGCUAAUACCGAAUAAUCUUAUAAUUCGCAUGAAUAUGUAAGUGAAAGAUAUGCAAAUAUUACUAGGAGAUGGGCUCGCGACGCAUUAGCUAGUUGGUAAGGUAAUGGCUUACCAAGGCGAUGAUGCGUAGCCGAUCCGAGAGGGUGAACGGCCACACUGGGACUGAGACACGGCCCAGACUCCUACGGGAGGCAGCAGUAGGGAAUUUUCCGCAAUGGGCGAAAGCCUGACGGAGCAACGCCGCGUGAGAGAAGACGGUCCUUGGAUUGUAAAUCUCUGUUUUUGGGGAAGAAAAAAAUGACGGUACCCAAAGAGGAAGCCCCGGCUAACUACGUG